rnacentral:lncRNA from 1 species
GACCGAACUUGACGACUUGUUCAAUUGCUAGAAGGAUUCAAGCGCCGGUGAUCGAAGGGAUACCUAGGACGACCAUAAGGGUUACAAUUGGUUUAGUCGCAACUUCAACCACCUUCAAUCCUAGGUCAGUAAAUGUGUGUUCAUGUGCAACAAUCGAAUUAGUCACACCAUUUCAUGAUCAUGAAGGCAUCUUAUUUGUUGGU